UGAUUAGAAGCUUGCUUCUAUGACGUUAGCGGCGGACGGGUGAGUAACACGUGGGCAACCUGCCUGUAAGACUGGGAUAACUUCGGGAAACCGAAGCUAAUACCGGAUAGGAUCUUCUCCUUCAUGGGAGAUGAUUGAAAGAUGGUUUCGGCUAUCACUUACAGAUGGGCCCGCGGUGCAUUAGCUAGUUGGUGAGGUAACGGCUCACCAAGGCAACGAUGCAUAGCCGACCUGAGAGGGUGAUCGGCCACACUGGGACUGAGACACGGCCCAGACUCCUACGGGAGGCAGCAGUAGGGAAUCUUCCGCAAUGGACGAAAGUCUGACGGAGCAACGCCGCGUGAGUGAUGAAGGCUUUCGGGUCGUAAAACUCUGUUGUUAGGGAAGAACAAGUACAAGAGUAACUGCUUGUACCUUGACGGUACCUAACCAGAAAGCCACGGCUAACUACGUGCCAGCAGCCGCGGUAAUACGUAGGUGGCAAGCGUUAUCCGGAAUUAUUGGGCGUAAAGCGCGCGCAGGCGGUUUCUUAAGUCUGAUGUGAAAGCCCACGGCUCAACCGUGGAGGGUCAUUGGAAACUGGGGAACUUGAGUGCAGAAGAGAAAAGCGGAAUUUCCACGUGUAGCGGGGAAAGGGGUAGAGAUGGGGAGGAACACCAUGGGCGAAGGCGGGCUUUUUGUUUUGUAACGGACGCUGAGGCGCGAAAGCUGGGGAGCAAACAGGAUUAGAUACCCUGGUAGUCCACGCCGUAAACGAUGAGUGGUAAGUGUUAGAGGGUUUCCGCCCUUUAGUGCUGCAGCUAACGCAUUAAGCACUCCGCCUGGGGAGUACGGUCGCAAGACUGAAACUCAAAGGAAUUGACGGGGGCCCGCACAAGCGGUGGAGCAUGUGGUUUAAUUUGAAGCAACGCGAAGAACCUUACCAGGUCUUGACAUCCUCUGACAACUCUAGAGAUAGAGCGUUCCCCUUCGGGGGACAGAGUGACAGGUGGUGCAUGGUUGUCGUCAGCUCGUGUCGUGAGAUGUUGGGUUAAGUCCCGCAACGAGCGCAACCCUUGAUCUUAGUUGCCAGCAUUUAGUUGGGCACUCUAAGGUGACUGCCGGUGACAAACCGGAGGAAGGUGGGGAUGACGUCAAAUCAUCAUGCCCCUUAUGACCUGGGCUACACACGUGCUACAAUGGAUGGUACAAAGGGCUGCAAGACCGCGAGGUCAACCCAAUCCCAUAAAACCAUUCUCAGUUCGGAUUGUAGGCUGCAACUCGCCUACAUGAAGCUGGAAUCGCUAGUAAUCGCGGAUCAGCAUGCCGCGGUGAAUACGUUCCCGGGCCUUGUACACACCGCCCGUCACACCACGAGAGUUUGUAACACCCGAAGUCGGUGGAGUAACCGUAAGGAGCUAGCCGCCUAAGG
rnacentral:rRNA from 2 species